rnacentral:rRNA from 1 species
GAUGAACGCUGGCGGCGUGCCUAACACAUGCAAGUCGAGCGAAGCGAUGUUAAGGAAGUUUUCGGAUGGAAUUAAGAUUGACUUAGCGGCGGACGGGUGAGUAACGCGUGGGUAACCUGCCUUAUACAGGGGGAUAACAGUUAGAAAUGACUGCUAAUACCGCAUAAGCGCACGGGAACGCAUGUUUCUGUGUGAAAAACUGAGGUAGUAUAAGAUGGACCCGCGUCUGAUUAGCUAGUUGGUGGGGUAACGGCCUACCAAGGCGACGAUCAGUAGCCGGCCUGAGAGGGUGACCGGCCACAUUGGGACUGAGACACGGCCCAA